GUAGGUGAACCUGCGGAAGGAUCAUUAACGAGUUAGGGUCUUCCAGGCCCGACCUCCCAACCCUUUGUUUACUUAACCAUUGUUGCUUCGGCGAGCCCGUCCUUCGGGACCGCCGGAGGGCCAUUAUAGGUCCUCUGGCCCGCGCUCGUCGGUGGCCAACCAUUAAAAUUCAUAACUAAACGUGCCUUAAUCUGAGUAUAAUCUUUAAUUAAAAUUAAAACUUUCAACAACGGAUCUCUUGGUUCUG
rnacentral:misc_RNA from 1 species